UCUGCAACCCGACUCCGUGAAGCUGGAUUCGCUAGUAAUCGCGCAUCAGCCAUGGCGCGGUGAAUACGUUCCCGGGCCUUGUACACACCGCCCGUCAAGCAAUGGAAGCCGGGGGCGCUUGAAGUGCGUUGCCGCAAGGCGCGCCCUAGAGCGAAACCGGUGACUGGGGCUAAGUCGUAACAAGGUAAC
rnacentral:rRNA from 1 species